CUCCACAAACACAAAGCUAAAUCUGCUAAUCUGCUGUUAAAUCUAGAUAAAACUGAAUUUACUGGGUGGAUGUGGUUACUGCAAUCUUUGCAAGGCAGGUCCAUCCGCUGAAGAACAGAAGAGAGCAUAUAAUCCAUACGCACAGAAUCUCUGAUGAAAAGUGAAGUUUCCUUUGAGGUGGGAUCUGUCUGGUGCUGCUGUGAGUCGGGCUGUAGACACUCAGCUGUGUUUGAUCUACUGUACAACUUGAAGGGCAUUUCUUUGCAUUCCUCGUACUUGUCUGGCUUGUUCCCAUGAGAAAGUCUCAGCCUACGCUCCUGACACCAAAAAACGGCCUCAGAAGAAAUGAUAAUGCUCAGGCCAGCAUCAGAGGCUCUGUUUGUGUGUGUGUGUGUGUGUGUGUGUGUGUGUGUGUGUGUGUGUGUGUGUGUGUGUAUGUGUGUGCGUGUUCGGGUGGGUAAGUGUGGGAGCAGAGUAAAUCAUGGUGUUUCAAUCCAGUAUUGUCCUGUUAACAGUGAUGUUCCCUGUGAUACUGUGGGAUAGUUUCAGUUUGUGUGAUGCUGAGUAAGAAGAGGAAAACAUAACAGUCUCUGUCUGAUCUUGUCUGUUUAUUUCUAUUUUGGGGGGAAUUUGAGCUUUAGACCUUGAAUGUUUGGACAUUUUUCCUGUUGCUGACCUCCUCAAGGGGAUGUUUUGAGAGCUAAAGGACAGGUUUACAAUUUUUCAAGUCAGUCUGAAAACAACAGUCAGAUGCCCAUGUAAACACUGA